ACUGGUCUGCAGAGGGAGAUAAAUGCAGGAUAGCUACAUUUUCCUGAUCAAAAUUCCUAGUUACGACCUGCACAAUACACUUUUUAGAAGGGACUAGAAUUAAAGACCUGAAACUCCAUUAUGAUCAUACACAUACCUUAUGUAUAUUUUGUUCUCACAAUGGCUCAUGCCUGUAAUCCCAGGAGUCCAAGGUGGGCGGAAGGCGGUC
rnacentral:lncRNA from 1 species